CUCUUCCUGCCGCGCUCCCUCAGAACUGGCUGAAGAACACUAGCUACUUCUCCAGCUGCGUGCCGCCAUGUUCCCUGUCAUGGGGAUAAAGGGACUAAAUCCCUCUGAAACGGUUCAUCUAUGAAGCAGCUGGCUCCAGAACCUUCUGCCUGCCUAAGGCCGAAUAAUGCUCUGCUUCUGAGUAUGCUGACUUGGGUUGUCUGUUUACCUCACUGCUGGCUGCUGGCUGCUGUCCCCCUGGGAGCUCCCUGCUUGGCUGCUGUGGCUAAUGCUGCCAGGAGGAGGAAGAAUGGACCCUUGCAAGGACACAGCUACCGCCCAGGGGUGCCUGGCGAGACAGAUUCUGCAAAUGUUUGUCAGCUCAGAGCCAGGUCUAGAAUGUGGCCUCUCUGGAGCUCGCUUGUUGGCUCCCCCAGAUGCAUCAUGGAAGGAGUUCCGCAUGCUCUGAGACAGUUUCUUCCCAGGAGGGGAUCAGCUUACUGGUGUGGACAAGAUCAUGUGUGUGUUUGUGCGCGCGCGCGCGCGUGUGCGCGUGUGCGCGUGCGCGUGCAGAGACCAAGGCAGUAAGAGACCCAACUAAGACUACCCACAGAUUUCUAGGCUAAGCAAUCUGAUGCGCUGGUAACAGUAUCUGGCACACAGGAGUAGUUAUGGCAGUGGGUUUUAUUACUGAGGCAAAGACACGGGGGGGGGGGGGGCGAAGAAGAGGGGCAGCAAGAGGUAGAGAAUAAUUUUGGUUUUGAAGCCUCCUCAAUUUGACAAAAGGCUGAGCUUAGAGAAUGUGCCUGGCAGCAGGCACAGGGAGGGCACUGAGACAUCACGCUGAAGGAGCUGCAGUGUGGCUCAGCCCGCCAACCAGGUCCCCCAGCUCAGCUCCUUGCUGUCCCCAUACGUCAUCUGGGCCUCAUCCUCGUUUGGGGGUGGGGUGGAGGGGGAAGAGAGGUUUCUUUGCAGAUAUGUAUGAUUAAGUAACAGAGAAAGGCCCUUGACCCUCCAAGGCCUGCAAUGAUACCACACUCUGUCUCCUUCUGAACACACCUGACCUUGAAGUCACCCCAGCUGGGCUGAUUUACGACAUGUUAAUGUGACUGUUUCAAACUCCAUUUUUCUGUCUGCUUUCUGGAUGGAGAUGGACAAGAGCGAGGUCGGGGAGGAAGGGCCUUAUUCCUGACAAGGCUGGCUGCUGUGGUGGCAGGUCCCAGCACCCUGCUCCCCUCUGCACUGUCUCUGUCCUUUGGGUGCAAGGGAGCGAUAGUGAGGGUACUCCUCCCACACCUUUGUGUUAACAGCGUAAAUAACCACGCCAGGUAACUGUCUGUGUUUGCCCCAGCCCCUCCCUGCUGUGUUCUGUUUCAAUAGCAGAAACUAAAGGAAACCAGGCUUCUGUGA
rnacentral:lncRNA from 1 species